rnacentral:rRNA from 1 species
GACGAACGCUGGCGGCGUGCCUAAUACAUGCAAGUUGAGCGCUGAAGGUUGGUACUUGUACCGACUGGCUGAGCAGCGCACGGGUGAGUAACGCGUGGGGAAUCUGCCUUUGAGCGGGGGACAACAUUUGGAAACGAAUGCUAAUACCGCAUAAAAACUUUAAACACAAGUUUUAAGUUUGAAAGAUGCAAUUGCAUCACUCAAAGAUGAUCCCGCGUUGUAUUAGCUAGUUGGUGAGGUAAAGGCUCACCAAGGCGAUGAUACAUAGCCGACCUGAGAGGGUGAUCGGCCACAUUGGGACUGAGACACGGCCCAAACUCCUACGGGAGGCAGCAGUAGGGAAUCUUCGGCAAUGGACGAAAGUCUGACCGAGCAACGCCGCGUGAGUGAAGAAGGUUUUCGGAUCGUAAAACUCUGUUGGUAGAGAAGAACGUUGGUGAGAGUGGAAAGCUCAUCAAGUGACGGUAACUACCCAGAAAGGGACGGCUAACUACGUG